rnacentral:lncRNA from 1 species
UAAAAAGGUACUUCAUUGGCAGUAGAAAACUUGAAAUACUUAAACUGACUCUGAAAAAAAUUAUGUCCAUCCAUGAAUAUUUAAUACGGUGCAGGAUCUAUGAACAUUUGGUGGCUGAUAUAAUCUUAUCACCAGCAGUAACUGAUAUAAUUGAGCAAAUGGUUGGCACUAGGCUGCCAACACCACCCAUAAUUAAACCUCUAGCUACAGGAGCGACUUUGUGCUAAUCUUACCAAAGUCACCGGUUGAUGCUUCUGAUUGUAACGUGGAUGAUCAGACAUGUUUUGAUCAGUCUCCCGUCUACUUCCUCC